rnacentral:rRNA from 1 species
AAAGCGUGCGCAGGCGGUCUUGUAAGACAGAGGUGAAAUCCCCGGGCUCAACCUGGGAACUGCCUUUGUGACUGCAAGGCUAGAGUACGGCAGAGGGGGAUGGAAUUCCGCGUGUAGCAGUGAAAUGCGUAGAUAUGCGGAGGAACACCGAUGGCGAAGGCAAUCCCCUGGGCCUGUACUGACGCUCAUGCACGAAAGCGUGGGGAGCAAACAGGAUUAGAUACCCUAGU